CCUACGGGAGGCAGCAGUGGGGAAUAUUGCACAAUGGGGGAAACCCUGAUGCAGCGACGCCGCGUGAGUGAAGAAGUAUCUCGGUACGUAAAGCUCUAUCAGCAGGGAAGAAAAUGACGGUACCUGACUAAGAAGCCCCGGCUAACAACGUGCCAGCAGCCGCGGUAAUACGUAGGGGGCAAGCGUUAUCCGGAUUUACUGGGGUUAAAGGGAGCGUAGACGGCAGCACCAGUCUGGAGUGAAAUCCCGGGGCUUAACCCCGGAACUGCUUUGGAAACUGUGCGGCGGGAGUGCAGGAGGGGUAAGCGGAAUUCCUAGUGUAGCGGUGAAAUGCGUAGAUAUUAGGAGGAACACCGGUGGCGAAGGCGGCUUACUGGACUGUAACUGACGUUGAGGCUCGAAAGCGUGGGGAGCAAACAGGAUUAGAUACCCCUGUAGUC
rnacentral:rRNA from 1 species